rnacentral:sRNA from 1 species
UGUGUGUAAAUCCAGGAGUGCAGCCUAGAUCUGGUGUCACUGCCCCAGCCUUGGAGCUCAAACCACCAGUUCAGUGAAAACUUGGCUCUUUGAGACAAGUGAUAAUGUUAACUAAUUAGCAUAAUGCUAUAGAGUCUAAGACAUGCUUCUACUUGCUUAUUCCAUUUCUUUUAUUCCCGAGCUUGUUGCUGUGCUGGGAGCUGAGGUUUGUCCCUGCUCUGGAAAACUUCUUAUCUAGUGGAGGGACAGACACAGCAAUGUGUUGUUGUAGUGCAGGUUUGUUAGCACCAUGACAGGCAUUCAUCUGUGUUUCUGUGGAUUCCCAAGAGGAAGUACGUAAUUCUACCCAGGAUAAAGGGCUCUGGUCCCCCGAAUCCACUGGGACCUGUCCACGGAGCGGGUCCUCCUGAUGGAGUUUGUGGAUGGUGGGCAGGUCAAUGACAGAGACUACAUGGAGAGGAACAAGAUUGACGUCAAUGAGAUCUCACGCCACCUGGGCAAGAUGUAUAGUGAGAUGAUCUUCGUCAAUGGCUUCGUGCACUGCGAUCCCCACCCCGGCAAUGUACUGGUGCGGAAGCACCCCGGCACGGGAAAGGCGGA